rnacentral:rRNA from 1 species
AUUAUUAAGUUUUAAUUUUUUAGGCUUAAUAACUUAUAUAGGUUAAGUUAUUAAGGGCGCAUGGCGGAUGCCUUGGCACUAGAAGCCGAUGAAGGACGGCACUAACACCGAUAUGCUUCGGGGAGCUGUAAGUGAGCUUUGAUCCGGAGAUUUCCGAAUGGGGGAACCC